GAUGAAGAACGCAGCGAAAUGCGAUAAGUAGUGUGAAUUGCAGAAUUCAGUGAUUCAUCGAAUCUUUGAACGCACAUUGCGCCCCUUGGUAUUCCAUGGGGCAUGCCUGUUCGAGCGUCAUUUGUACCCUCAAGCUUUGCUUGGUGUUGGGCGUCUUGUCGUAUUACGACUCGCCUUAAAUACAUUGGCAGCCGGCACUUUGGCCUAGGAGCGCAGCACAUUUUGCGAUCGUAGCCCGUUGUACUGGCGUCCAUCAAGAACAUUUACCACGUUUGACCUCGGAUCAGGUAGGGAUACCCGCUGAACUUAAGCAUAUCAAUAAGCGGAGGA
rnacentral:misc_RNA from 1 species